GGAGGGAUGGUUCAGUGGUUAAGAGCACUGGAGGGAUCAUGCAGAGGACCUGGGUUCAGUUCCCAGUGCCCCCA
rnacentral:tRNA from 1 species